rnacentral:rRNA from 1 species
AGUGAACGCUGGCGGUAGGCCUAACACAUGCAAGUCGAACGGCAGCACAGCAAGAGCUUGCUCUUACGGGUGGCGAGUGGCGGACGGGUGAGGAAUACAUCGGAAUCUACUUUUUCGUGGGGGAUAACGUAGGGAAACUUACGCUAAUACCGCAUACGACCUACGGGUGAAAGCAGGGGAUCUUCGGACCUUGCGCGAUUGAAUGAGCCGAUGUCGGAUUAGCUAGUUGGCGGGGUAAAGGCCCACCAAGGCGACGAUCCGUAGCUGGUCUGAGAGGAUGAUCAGCCACACUGGAACUGAGACACGGUCCAGACUCCUACGGGAGGCAGCAGUGGGGAAUAUUGGACAAUGGCCGCAAGCCUGAUCCAGCCAUACCGCGUGGGUGAAGAAGGCCUUCGGGUUGUAAAGCCCUUUUGUUGGGAAAGAAAAGCAGCAGGUUAAUACCCCGCUGUUCUGACGGUACCCAAAGAAUAAGCACCGGCUAACUUCGUG